rnacentral:rRNA from 1 species
UGGUAUCCUGUCUGAAUAUGGGGGGACCAUCCUCCAAGGCUAAAUACUCCUGACUGACCGAUAGUGAACCAGUACCGUGAGGGAAAGGCGAAAAGAACCCCGGCGAGGGGAGUGAAAAAGAACCUGAAACCGUGUACGUACAAGCAGUGGGAGCACGCUUAGGCGUGUGACUGCGUACCUUUUGUAUAAUGGGUCAGCGACUUAUAUUCUGUAGCAAGGUUAACCGAAUAGGGGAGCCGAAGGGAAACCGAGUCUUAACUGGGCGUUAAGUUGCAGGGUAUAGACCCGAAACCCGGUGAUCUAGCCAUGGGCAGGUUGAAGGUUGGGUAACACUAACUGGAGGACCGAACCGACUAAUGUUGAAAAAUUAGCGGAUGACUUGUGGCUGGGGGUGAAAGGCCAAUCAAACCGGGAGAUAGCUGGUUCUCCCCGAAAGCUAUUUAGGUAGCGCCUCGUGAAUUCAUCUCCGGGGGUAGAGCACUGUUUCGGCAAGGGGGUCAUCCCGACUUACCAACCCGAUGCAAACUGCGAAUACCGGAGAAUGUUAUCACGGGAGACACACGGCGGGUGCUAACGUCCGUCGUGAAGAGGGAAACAACCCAGACCGCCAGCUAAGGUCCCAAAGUCAUGGUUAAGUGGGAAACGAUGUGGGAAGGCCCAGACAGCCAGGAUGUUGGCUUAGAAGCAGCCAUCAUUUAAAGAAAGCGUAAUAGCUCACUGGUCGAGUCGGCCUGCGCGGAAGAUGUAACGGGGCUAAACCAUGCACCGAAGCUGCGGCAGCGACACUAUGUGUUGUUGGGUAGGGGAGCGUUCUGUAAGCCUGUGAAGGUGUGCUGUGAGGCAUGCUGGAGGUAUCAGAAGUGCGAAUGCUGACAUAAGUAACGAUAAAGCGGGUGAAAAGCCCGCUCGCCGGAAGACCAAGGGUUCCUGUCCAACGUUAAUCGGGGCAGGGUGAGUCGACCCCUAAGGCGAGGCCGAAAGGCGUAGUCGAUGGGAAACAGGUUAAUAUUCCUGUACUUGGUGUUACUGCGAAGGGGGGACGGAGAAGGCUAUGUUGGCCGGGCGACGGUUGUCCCGGUUUAAGCGUGUAGGCUGGUUUUCCAGGCAAAUCCGGAAAAUCAAGGCUGAGGCGUGAUGACGAGGCACUACGGUGCUGAAGCAACAAAUGCCCUGCUUCCAGGAAAAGCCUCUAAGCAUCAGGUAACAUCAAAUCGUACCCCAAACCGACACAGGUGGUCAGGUAGAGAAUACCAAGGCGCUUGAGAGAACUCGGGUGAAGGAACUAGGCAAAAUGGUGCCGUAACUUCGGGAGAAGGCACGCUGAUAUGUAGGUGAAGUCCCUCGCGGAUGGAGCUGAAAUCAGUCGAAGAUACCAGCUGGCUGCAACUGUUUAUUAAAAACACAGCACUGUGCAAACACGAAAGUGGACGUAUACGGUGUGACGCCUGCCCGGUGC